rnacentral:lncRNA from 1 species
CAAAAUCAAGCAUUUGUAUUUAUCAACACAUAGAUCUACCUGGAAAAUGAAAAACAGAAAGAAACCUUUCACCAUGUCAGUGAAAAGAUGAAGUGUUCACAGAUUUAGACAAAGUUCAAAGACUAUGUGACGUUCAACAACUUCAAAACAUUGUAAUAAUAAUAAUAACACCAUUGUAAUGCUGAAAACAAUAUCUAUGUUUGAUGACUGGUCAGUUUUAUGAAUUGAGGAAGGAAUCUAGAAUGAAUAACAUAUAUACAGCCUAUGCAAUGAACUUUGUAAUGAAAUCGUGAAAAACAAUGCAUGCCCUAAAGUACUCGUGUUCGACACAUACGUCUAUGAUAGAAUUUCAUGAUGAUGAUAAGCUCUUCCAAACAAAGUAAAAAGUGAGAAGGACCAUGAUGGAUACAUCGGACACUUAAAAUCAUAAGCAUGAAGAACAAAGGCAUUUGGUAGCAGAAAUUCUCUGAUAUAUACUAUAUUCAGAAAAGACAUUACGUUCAUUCCAUUAGCAAUUUCAAUUCUAAGUUGAAAGCUUCGUUAAUUUAUCAAAUUGCUGAACUAAUACCAGAAAUAAAUGCAAUCAAUUCAUUUCCCUUGAACAAUUUCUACUAUGUUUAUUUUUCCGAAAUUAAGAGAAAAAACAAUUAUAAUAAGCUUUUUGGAAAAGAGAAAAAGAACAAACAUACUUUAGUUUUGUAGCAUUGAACAUAUGAACUGCUGAAAUUAAACUCGUCGGAAGUGUCUCCGGGCUAUCCUCAGCAGCUUCUUUACGUUCAACAAAUAUCUAAAAUCGGAAUAUACCUAUCAAUUUUAAAAGUUAAAAAAAAAAGGGAAUUAAUAAAAAAAGAAACCCGUCAUAUGUUUAUCCCCAACUUUUUUAAAAGGAUAGACACAAAAUUAACCAGAAAACCGAAACCGAUAAUUGAGAAUCAAAUUACACAUAAAAAAAAAACUGAUUUUUCAUUUUGUUUGUAUAAUAAUUCAAUCAUAAAUUAAAAAAAAACUGCAUAAAAAAGAAUUAAGAGGUUUAAAAAUGUGGAUGGAGUAACGCCAAUUUUUGCAAAAUUUGUUCAUAGUUUCUGAAACUAAUCUCAUCAAAAUUGCAAUUGAAGACGUUGUUGUAAGUUUUAAACUUACUGCGUCUUUCCAUUUAUUUGCAGGAUGAGGGAAACUGUUGAGCUCGAUAUAGCUUAGUUUUUCAAAUUUUCUUGCAUUUGAAGUUCGUAUGAUACCAGCAUGAAGACUGAUGGU